rnacentral:rRNA from 1 species
CUUUUCUAUGGAAGCUUGCUUCCACUGAGAAGAUAGUGGCGGACGGGUGAGUAACACGUGGGUAACCUGCCCAUAAGAGGGGGAUAACAUCCGGAAACGGGUGCUAAUACCGCAUAGUUUUCUUGAUCGCAUGAUCGAGAAAGGAAAGACGGCCUUUGUGCUGUCGCUUAUGGAUGGACCCGCGGCGUAUUAGUUAGUUGGUGAGGUAACGGCUCACCAAGACGAUGAUACGUAGCCGACCUGAGAGGGUGAUCGGCCACAUUGGGACUGAGACACGGCCCAAACUCCUACGGGAGGCAGCAGUAGGGAAUCUUCCGCAAUGGACGAAAGUCUGACGGAGCAACGCCGCGUGAGUGAAGAAGGUUUUCGGAUCGUAAAACUCUGUUGUCAGAGAAGAACAAGUCGGAGAGUAACUGCUCCGGCCUUGACGGUAUCUGACCAGAAAGCCACGGCUAACUACGUGCCAGCAGCCGCGGUAAUACGUAGGUGGCAAGCGUUGUCCGGAUUUAUUGGGCGUAAAGCGAGCGCAGGCGGUUCCUUAAGUCUGAUGUGAAAGCCCACGGCUCAACCGUGGAAGGUCAUUGGAAACUGGGGGACUUGAGUGCAGAAGAGGAGAGUGGAAUUCCAUGUGUAGCGGUGAAAUGCGUAGAUAUAU